GUGACCGAGUUUAUCCACUUUUUGAAGUAUGAAACUGAGCAUAGCCACAUUGCCUUGGAUAAAAUAUAUUUCUGCACGUCCAAACCCGAAUUAUUGCAAUCACUGACAGAAGCGAUACAGCAAAAAAGUGCGUCAACCACAAUCGAUUGCGAUCAGCCCACUUCGCUUGCACAGGUGGAAUCUUCAUCUGCAACAACAUACUCUGAUAAACUGUUAGUUACAGGACUUUCAAAAGAGACACAAGAAACUGAUAUGGAGCAGUUUCUUUGCAGGCAUACAGGACACAAACUGAAAACCGGUUCGAUGUUAUUUCAUGCGACUAGAACCGACACGGCUAUGGUCACAUUUGACAAUGCAUUUGAAUAUCAGUCUAUCGUAGAUAAGUGUAAAUCCCAUAAAUUACACGGAUGCGAACUACGAUUUUCAAAAGUGCAAGUUGAAUACUGCGUUAUCCUUUCAAAACUGAAGGAAACGGUGAACGAAGAAAUGAUUUUAUCGUACUUUAACCGAAAUGGACCAAUUGUUCAUAAAGUAGACGUGAAACAGAGGAAGGGGCGUUGUUUAGUUUUCUUUGAUAAAGAAACUGAUGCAAACGAAGCUCUGUGUACCGAACAUAAUUUCGGCGGACAAACUGUGACCGUUCAUCGAUAUUUUACUAGCAUUGAGCGCAGUGAACCUGACAUAAUUAGCUGCAAGCGGAUACAUGGUUUAACUGUGUGCGUUUCGCAUGGAAAUUGGAGCGAGAUGAGAUUUGACAAAAUAGAAAAACAUAGUUUUAAAGGUAUUACCGUUACCAACUACGGACUGCAAUACUUCCACGCACAAUGUUUUUGGAAACCGUCUUUGAAUAUUGAGAAAGUAAUCAACUUGGCGGCAAAAGGUCCUUUUAAGUCGAUUGGGUUCAUU